rnacentral:rRNA from 1 species
AUUGAACGCUGGCGGCAGGCCUAACACAUGCAAGUCGAACGAGUGGCGGACGGGUGAGUAAUGUCUGGGAAACUGCCUGAUGGAGGGGGAUAACUACUGGAAACGGUAGCUAAUACCGCAUACCAUCGGAUGUGCCCAGAUGGGAUUAGCUAGUAGGUGGGGUAAAGGCUCACUUAGGCGACGAUCCCUAGCUGGUCUGAGAGGAUGACCAGCCACCCUGGAACUUAGACCCGGUCCAUGCUCCUACGGGAGGCAGCAGUGGGUAAUAGUGCACAAUGGGCGCAAGCCUGAUGCAGCCAGGCCGCGUGUGUGAAGAAGGCCUUCUGGUUGUAAAGCACUUUCAGCGGGGAGGCGUUACCCGCAGAAGAAGCACCGGCUAACUCCGUGCCAGCAGCCGCGGUAAUAC